CAGGCCUAACACAUGCAAGUCGAGCGGCAGCGCACCCUUCGGGGUGGCGGCGAGCGGCGGACGGCUGAGUAACACGUAGGAAUGUACCCCAGAGUGAGGAAUAACUGCCCGAAAGGGUAGCUAAUGCCGCAUACGCACUUCGGUGUAAAGGCUUCGGCCGCUUUGGGAACAGCCUGCGUACGAUUAGAUUGUUGGUGAGGUAAUGGCUCACCAAGUCGACGAUCGUUAGUUGGUCUGAGAGGAUGACCAGCCAGACUGGAACUGAGACACGGUCCAGACUCCUACGGGAGGCAGCAGUGAGGAAUCUUCCACAAUGGGCGAAAGCCUGAUGGAGCAACGCCGCGUGCAGGAUGAAGGCCCUCGGGUCGUAAACUGCUUUUAUGAGCGAAGAAUAUGACGGUAACUCAUGAAUAAGGGUCGGCUAACUACGUGCCAGCAGCCGCGGUAAU
rnacentral:rRNA from 1 species